CCUACGGGGUGCAGCAGUGGGGAAUAUUGCACAAUGGGCGCAAGCCUGAUGCAGCAACGCCGCGUGAGCGAUGAAGGCCUUCGGGUCGUAAAGCUCUGUCCUCAAGGAAGAUAAUGACGGUACUUGAGAAGGAAGCCCCGGCUAACUACGUGCCAGCAGCCGCGGUAAUACGUAGGGGGCGAGCGUUAUCCGGAAUUACUGGUCGUAAAGGGGGCGUAGGUGGUUUCUUAAGUCAGAGGUGAAGGGCUACGGCUCAACCGUAGUAAGCCUUUGAAACUGGGGAGCUUGAGUGCAGUAGAGGAGAGUGGAAUUCCUAGUGUAGCGGUGAAAUGCGUAGAGAUUAGGAGGAACACCAGUGGCGAAGGCGGCUCUCUGGACUGUAACUGACACUGAGGCACGAAAGCGUGGGGAGCAAACAGGAUUAGAUACCCUUGUAGUC
rnacentral:rRNA from 1 species